UCCCAUUUUUUUAAAAAAAAAUCUACACCCCCCUCUUUUCUUCUUUUCUCUGUUAGGGUUUUGAGACCCAUCAUCGCACCAUCGCUGAAAAGCCUUGGCUCCACCGUGGACGGUGGUCGGAGCCACGCCAAAAUCAAAUUCGGAUAGCGGUGUCAGACGCGCGUGGAGGAGCAGCACACGAAGCGGCCUGCUGAUGUGCGACGGUUGAAGUUUAGGGGGCUAGGGUUUCUGAAAAUUGUAUUUCUUUUGGGUUAGGGUUUGUUUUUUAUUUUGGGGCUUGUUGGGUUUUAAUUUGGGUUAUGGACUAUUAAUAAAAUCUUUGGACUUGUUUA